UGUGUUUAAAGUAUUCAUAGAUAUUUAUAAGUGUUGCGCUGGUAAGUUUACAGUUAAAAACAGUUGCCUUCCCACCCAAUGGGACUAGUUCCUCUCAGUUAACGAAAGCCGUAGAAGCUGUAAAGCGCUGGGUUGAUAACGCACGGAAAUACCAACUGACGAGCGUGUUCCUCCGAGGUGUGGUCUAAGAAGUAUCUGUUCAUCUGUGUACAUUCGGUUGAUAUAGCUUCCGCGUAGCUGAUGUGGUUCGUUUAGAGGAUGGUGAAAGGAUCAACAGACUUCCUAGGCGAGCGCAACAGCGCACGGUUCCCCAGCUGCUGCUCACGUCAACAAAUUCUUCAUGCUUUGCGCAACCGCCACAAAGGCCCGUGUAUACUCUCCGUGAUCAAGCUUCUCUACGGGAAGACAGCAGCUCCUUCGACAGUCCUGCCGGCGAUGGCGGCUCCUAUUGAGUGUGAAGAUAGGCUGAGUGAAAGAUUGUGGCCGGACGUGUGGGACAGCAGCUUCAGCUUUUGCGUUUUAUGGCUAUGACCCAUCUCUCCCUCCGCCUCUACUGGGCUGAUCGUGGCAAAUGUGGGCGAUUCGCGGGGCUGAAGGAGAAGAAACUGGUCAUUGCUGAUCCGGACGUGCUGUCGUUUUAUUUGGUAGAUCACAGGCCACAAUUUCUUAUCUUAGCCUCCGAUGGACUGUGGGUUACGUUCCCGGCUUUUUCCCGGCUUUCUUCAAGCGUAAAGCGACCCAUUUCGUAAAUGAGGAAGUGUUUACUAAAUGUCUACAUUUUUUAG